AUUGAACGCUGGCGGCAGGCCUAACACAUGCAAGUCGAACGAGUGGCGGACGGGUGAGUAAUGUCUGGGAAACUGCCUGAUGGAGGGGGAUAACUACUGGAAACGGUAGCUAAUACCGCAUACCAUCGGAUGUGCCCAGAUGGGAUUAGCUAGUAGGGGGGGUAAAGGCUCACCUAGGCGACGAUCCCUAGCUGGUCUGAGGGGAUGACCAGCCACCCUGGCACUGAGACACGGUCCAGACUCCGAAGGGAGGCAGCAGUGGGGAAUAGUGCACAAUGGGCGCAAGCCUGAUGCAGCAAUGCCGCGUGUAGGAAGAAGGCGUUAGGGUUGUAAAGUACUGUCAGCGGGGAGGCGUUACCCGAAGAAGAAGCACCGGCUAACUCCGUGCCAGCAGCCGCGGUAAUAC
rnacentral:rRNA from 1 species